rnacentral:rRNA from 1 species
GAUGAACGCUGGCUACAGGCUUAACACAUGCAAGUCGAGGGGAAACGACGGGGAAGCUUGCUUCCCCGGGCGUCGACCGGCGCACGGGUGAGUAACGCGUAUCCAACCUGCCUCUGACUGAGGGAUAACCCGUCGAAAGUCGGCCUAAUACCUCAUGGCAUCGUCUGCGGGCAUCCAACGACGAUUAAAGAUUUCAUCGGUCAGAGAUGGGGAUGCGUCUGAUUAGCUUGUUGGCGGGGUAACGGCCCACCAAGGCGACGAUCAGUAGGGGUUCUGAGAGGAAGGUCCCCCACAUUGGAACUGAGACACGGUCCAAACUCCUACGGGAGGCAGCAGUGAGGAAUAUUGGGCAAGGGGCGAGGGCCUGAACCAGCCAAGUAGCGUGCAGGAUGACGGCGCUAGGGGUUGUAAACUGCUUUUAUGGGGGGAUAAAGUGAGGGACGUGUCCUUCAUUGCAGGUACCGCAUGAAUAAGGACCGGCUAAUUCCGUG